CAACUUUCAGCAACGGAUCUCUUGGCUCUCGCAUCGAUGAAGAACGCAGCGAAAUGCGAUAAGUAAUGUGAAUUGCAGAAUUCAGUGAAUCAUCGAAUCUUUGAACGCAUCUUGCGCUCCUUGGUAUUCCGAGGAGCAUGCCUGUUUGAGUGUCAUUAAUAAUAUCAACCCUCUUCUCUUGUUGAGUGUUGGAU
rnacentral:rRNA from 1 species